GACGAACGCUGGCGGCGUGCUUAACACAUCCAAGUCGAACGGAAAGGCCCUGCUUUUGUGGGGUGCUCGAGUGGCGAACGGGUGAGUAACACGUGAGUAACCUGCCCUUGACUUUGGGAUAACUUCAGGAAACUGGGGCUAAUACCGGAUAGGAGCUCCUGCUGCAUGGUGGGGGUUGGAAAGUUUCGGCGGUUGGGGAUGGACUCGCGGCUUAUCAGCUUGUUGGUGGGGUAGUGGCUUACCAAGGCUUUGACGGGUAGCCGGCCUGAGAGGGUGACCGGCCACAUUGGGACUGAGAUACGGCCCAGACUCCUACGGGAGGAAGCAGUGGGGAAUAUUGCACAAUGGGCGGAAGCCUGAUGCAGCAACGCCGCGUGCGGGAUGACGGCCUUCGGGUUGUAAACCGCUUUCGCCUGUGACGAAGCGUGAGUGACGGUAAUGGGUAAAGAAGCACCGGCUAACUACGUG
rnacentral:rRNA from 1 species